rnacentral:rRNA from 1 species
AAAUUGAAGAGUUUGAUCAUGGCUCAGAUUGAACGCUGGCGGCAGGCCUAACACAUGCAAGUCGAACGGUAACAGGAAGCAGCUUGCUGCUUCGCUGACGAGUGGCGGACGGGUGAGUAAUGUCUGGGAAACUGCCUGAUGGAGGGGGAUAACUACUGGAAACGGUGGCUAAUACCGCAUAACGUCGCAAGACCAAAGAGGGGGACCUUCGGGCCUCUUGCCAUCAGAUGUGCCCAGAUGGGAUUAGCUUGUUGGUGAGGUAACGGCUCACCAAGGCGACGAUCCCUAGCUGGUCUGAGAGGAUGACCAGCCACACUGGAACUGAGACACGGUCCAGACUCCUACGGGAGGCAGCAGUGGGGAAUAUUGCACAAUGGGCGCAAGCCUGAUGCAGCCAUGCCGCGUGUAUGAAGAAGGCCUUCGGGUUGUAAAGUACUUUCAGCGGGGAGGAAGGUGUUGUGGUUAAUAACCACAGCAAUUGACGUUACCCGCAGAAGAAGCACCGGCUAACUCCGUGCCAGCAGCCGCGGUAAUACGGAGGGUGCAAGCGUUAAUCGGAAUUACUGGGCGUAAAGCGCACGCAGGCGGUCUGUCAAGUCGGAUGUGAAAUCCCCGGGCUCAACCUGGGAACUGCAUUCGAAACUGGCAGGCUUGAGUCUUGUAGAGGGGGGUAGAAUUCCAGGUGUAGCGGUGAAAUGCGUAGAGAUCUGGAGGAAUACCGGUGGCGAAGGCGGCCCCCUGGACAAAGACUGACGCUCAGGUGCGAAAGCGUGGGGAGCAAACAGGAUUAGAUACCCUGGUAGUCCACGCCGUAAACGAUGUCUACUUGGAGGUUGUGCCCUUGAGGCGUGGCUUCCGGAGCUAACGCGUUAAGUAGACCGCCUGGGGAGUACGGCCGCAAGGUUAAAACUCAAAUGAAUUGACGGGGGCCCGCACAAGCGGUGGAGCAUGUGGUUUAAUUCGAUGCAACGCGAAGAACCUUACCUGGUCUUGACAUCCACGGAAGAAUUCAGAGAUGGAUUUGUGCCUUCGGGAACCGUGAGACAGGUGCUGCAUGGCUGUCGUCAGCUCGUGUUGUGAAAUGUUGGGUUAAGUCCCGCAACGAGCGCAACCCUUAUCCUUUGUUGCCAGCGGUCCGGCCGGGAACUCAAAGGAGACUGCCAGUGAUAAACUGGAGGAAGGUGGGGAUGACGUCAAGUCAUCAUGGCCCUUACGACCAGGGCUACACACGUGCUACAAUGGCGCAUACAAAGAGAAGCGACCUCGCGAGAGCAAGCGGACCUCAUAAAGUGCGUCGUAGUCCGGAUUGGAGUCUGCAACUCGACUCCAUGAAGUCGGAAUCGCUAGUAAUCGUGGAUCAGAAUGCCACGGUGAAUACGUUCCCGGGCCUUGUACACACCGCCCGUCACACCAUGGGAGUGGGUUGCAAAAGAAGUAGGUAGCUUAACCUUCGGGAGGGCGCUUACCACUUUGUGAUUCAUGACUGGGGUGAAGUCGUAACAAGGUAACCGUAGGGGAACCUGCGGUUGGAUCACCUCCUUACCUGAAAGAAGC